rnacentral:rRNA from 1 species
ACGAACGCCGGCGGCGUGCUUAACACCUGCCAGUCGCACGGAAAGGCCGUGCUUGCAGGGUACUCGAGUGGCGAACGGGUGAGUAACACGUGGGUGAUCUGCCCUGCACUUCGGGAUAAGCCUGGGAAACUGGGUCUAAUACCGGAUAGGAGCCAUUUUUCGUGUGAUGGUUGGAAAGUUUUUUCGGUGUAGGAUGAGCUCGCGGCCUAUCAGCUUGUUGGUGGGGUAAUGGCCUACCAAGGCGGCGACGGGUAGCCGGCCUGAGAGGGUGGACGGCCACAUUGGGACUGAGAUAAGGCCCAGACUCCUACGGGAGGCAGCAGUGGGGAAUAUUGCACAAUGGGCGCAAGCCGGAUGCAGCGACGCCGCGUGGGGGAUGACGGCCUUCGGGUUGUAAAAUCCUUUCGCUAGGGACGAAGCUUUUUGUGACGGUACCUAGAUAAGAAGCACCGGCUAACUACGUG